CAGGUGCAGACGAUGGUGCAGCAGCUCGUGGUCUAUAACUACCUGCCCAUCAUUGUGGGCAGCAGCGUGGGAGGCCUGGUCCUGCUGGCUCUCAUCACUGCAGCCCUCUACAAGGCCGGCUUCUUCAAGCGCCAGUACAAGGAGAUGAUGGACAGCGCGAGGGGUGGGGAUGGGACCGGCCCGGACUAGAGCGACUCUGCCAGUGUCUGCCCCAGCCCCCACAUCCCCAAGCAAUAGCCCCUCCCCCACAUGGGAUGCUCUGGAUCUCCACUCCCCCACAUCACCCGCCAUGGACCACCAUCAGUCUGCACCCCGAUGUGCUGCUUGCUCUCAGACCAGCCCCCUAGGACCACCGUGUGGGGUUGGCAAGUGGACUCCUGGGUUCGCUCCCAGCUCUGGCUAGGGAGUGGUGUCUAGUGGUUAGAGAGGGUGGCUCAGGGACCAGAACUCCUGGGUUCUCUCUCUAAUGCAGGGCUGGGGAACUUUUUUCAGGUUGUGGUCCCCUGACCCACAGAAAAAUCAGCCAGGAGGCACAGAACAAACCCUCAUUGACAUGGCCACUCACUGAGAAGCAAAAAGACCCUCUCCCCACUUUCCCCUGACACCCCAGAACCCAGGGGGGCCCAGGCUUGUAGAUUUUGUGUGCUCCAGCCCCACAGUGGGGCGGUGGAGAGGGUGGAGCCCCAGCAUGGGCUCUCCAGUGCUGGGAGGGGUCCCUGAACCUUGGGGGCGCGAUCCAGAGAAGAUAUGGGGCUGUAUCUGCCCCCCUGGGCCUUAGGUUCCCCACACCCACCCUAACGGACGCCUGGCCUGUUCUGCAUCCGACCAGACUAGUGUGGGAGGUGAACCCUCGCAAAGCAGUGGCCGCUAAGGAGCUUUGGUGUAUUAAAAAGCAGACUGAGGUGUGCUUAUUGCAACCA